rnacentral:misc_RNA from 1 species
AAGAGACGUUGCCCUUCGGGGUAUACCUCCCACCCUUUGUUUAUUAUACCUUUGUUGCUUUGGCAGGCCCGUCCUCGGACCACCGGCUUCUGCUGGUCAGUGCCCGCCAGAGGACCUAAAACUCUGUUUGUUAAUAUUGUCUGAGUACUAUAUAAUAGUUA